rnacentral:rRNA from 1 species
GACGAACGCUGGCGGCGUGCCUAAUACAUGCAAGUAGAACGCUGAAGGAGGAGCUUGCUUCUCUGGAUGAGUUGCGAACGGGUGAGUAACGCGUAGGUAACCUGCCUGGUAGCGGGGGAUAACUAUUGGAAACGAUAGCUAAUACCGCAUAAGAGUAGAUGUUGCAUGACAUUUGCUUAAAAGGUGCAAUUGCAUCACUACCAGAUGGACCUGCGUUGUAUUAGCUAGUUGGUGAGGUAACGGCUCACCAAGGCAACGAUACAUAGCCGACCUGAGAGGGUGAUCGGCCACACUGGGACUGAGACACGGCCCAGACUCCUACGGGAGGCAGCAGUAGGGAAUCUUCGGCAAUGGACGGAAGUCUGACCGAGCAACGCCGCGUGAGUGAAGAAGGUUGUCGGAUCGUAAAGCUCUGUUGUAAGAGAAGAACGAGUGUGAGAGUGGAAAGUUCACACUGUGACGGUAGCUUACCAGAAAGGGACGGCUAACUACGUG